GGCAGGCUGAAUCACUCGCCCGGUAGUGACGGAGGAGGCCGUAAAAGCCUCUUAGAGGCCCACGGUGGCCUCUGUGUCCUUCAUUCCGCCACCCAUCCGUCCACCGAGCGCCUGCUGGGUGCCAGGAACUCGGUCACAGAAAGGCUGAGGUCGACUCCCGACCGAGAAGCCUCGCGGUGGGACCAAGUGGCAAAACGACUCCGAAUGCAACGGCAUCCACGCGGCGGCCGUGGUUGAGGAACAGAAGCUGAG
rnacentral:lncRNA from 1 species